rnacentral:rRNA from 1 species
GAUGAACGCUGGCGGCGUGCCUAAUACAUGCAAGUCGAGCGAACAGACGAGGAGCUUGCUCCUCUGACGUUAGCGGCGGACGGGUGAGUAACACGUGGAUAACCUACCUAUAAGACUGGGAUAACUUCGGGAAACCGGAGCUAAUACCGGAUAACAUGUUGAACCGCAUGGUUCAACAGUGAAAGACGGUCUUGCUGUCACUUAUAGAUGGAUCCGCGCCGCAUUAGCUAGUUGGUAAGGUAACGGCUUACCAAGGCAACGAUGCGUAGCCGACCUGAGAGGGUGAUCGGCCACACUGGAACUGAGACAUGGUCCAGACUCCUACGGGAGGCAGCAGUAGGGAAUCUUCCGCAAUGGGCGAAAGCCUGACGGAGCAACGCCGCGUGAGUGAAGAAGGUCUUCGGAUCGUAAAACUCUGUUAUUAGGGAAGAACAAAUGUGUAAGUAACUAUGCACGUCUUGACGGUACCUAAUCAGAAAGCCACGGCUAACUACGUG